UCUACACUCAACACAGUACUGCUCCAGAGAACUAAAGUCAUUGAAAUCCUGACAUCAUGGAGGCUGUCUCCAGUGGUCUACACCGAGCCUCAGGAUUCCUAUCAUCUUUUCAAAGAAGGCUAUCCUCCAGCUUGAAGUUCCAUUGGGAUGUAUAUUCCAAACCUUCCCCGGGGAACAUGUUAGAGGUCUUCAUCCUGUUCUGUUUCUGUCUCAUCAUCGGUGCA